rnacentral:rRNA from 1 species
GUGAGGAAUUUUCCGCAAUGGGCGAAAGCCUGACGGAGCAAUGCCGCGUGAAGGAUGAAGGCCUAUGGGUUGUAAACUUCUUUUCUCAGAAAAGAAUUAUGACGGUAUCUGAGGAAUAAGCAUCGGCUAACUCUGUGCCAGCAGCCGCGGUAAGACAGAGGAUGCAAGCGUUAUCCGGAAUGAUUGGGCGUAAAGCGUCUGUAGGUUGUUUAAAAAGUAUUCUGUCAAAGAUUAGGGCUUAACCCUAGAUAGGCAGAAUAAACUUUUAAGCUAGAGUGUGGUAGAGGCAGAGGGAAUUCCCGGUGGAGCGGUGAAAUGCGUAGAUAUCGGGAGGAACACCAAAGGCGAAGGCACUCUGCUGGGCCAAUACGAACACUGAGAGACGAAAGCGAGGGGAGCAAAUGGGAUUAGAUACCCGGGUAGUCC